AUCACCCACGCUUGCAGUUCAGAGUCGCUGAGACAACAGGAACAGCAGAUGCUGGGGCAUCUGAGAUGACACGGUGUGUAGCUGGAUGAACACAGCAGGUCAAGCAGCAUCAGCCGAGCAGGAAAGCUGACGUUUCGGGCCUAGAUCCUUCGCUGAGACCAAGAUUUGUGCAAUUGAGAUACCAGCGAUCAUUGCCAAAACCCUGUUGCCUGUGGAGAAGGUGAUAUUUAACUUCCGUGUGCUGCUGCAGUUCGUAUGAUAAAGGUGCUCCCACAAUGCUCCAUUUGAGAAGUUACAGAUCGUUCAUCUAGCGAUACUGAAGAGCUGAUGGUGACUGUGCGGUGGUCGCUGUUAUCAAUCCUGACAGGGACAGAUGCAUCUGCAGCUGGGAAAUUUGUGACAAUGAGAUCAGCUAUGUUUUUCCCUUUUGUUGGUUGUGUCAGCACCUGCUGCAGUCCCAGCCAGGCAGCUUUGACCAGCUUGAUUGGUAAUCCUGAUGCUGAACUACUCCUGAUGGUCGACAUUGAGUACAUUUAGUGCCAUUCACACUCACACUGUUUCUCCAAGUGCUAUUCGACAUGUAGUUUUUUUUUUAAAUUAAAAUUCACACUUCAGAUGUGGAAAUCACUGGCUGGACCAGCAUUUAUUGCCCAUCCCUAAUUGCCCCAAAGGCAGUUAAGAGUCAACCACAUUGCUGUGGGUUUGGAGUUGCAUGUCAUGCAGACCAGGAUAAUAGAAGUGGACUUUCAGGUGGGGAACUCAAUAAUUGUAACAACAAACUCUGACAGAAUUACUCAAUUCAUCAGCACCUGGAUAUUCGCAUUGUGUGAGAGUGUUGUGUUCCUGCUCAUUUCCCAUUUACCGUGUAAAAUUUCUCUCUUAAAUCACCCCAUUCUCUCAAUAGAUCGUCCCUGAAAUUUUCAGUGUGUCCUGUAAUCUUUUUUAUGAUCAGUCAUGUGUACAUUUUAUCAUCCUAAAGUGUUUCUUUUGCCAACACCUCUAUCAAAGGUCGCCACAAAACCCUUUGUUACAAGGAGAACAAUCUCCGUUUCCCCAUCACCUGAUUCCUCAAUGACUGUUUGCUGUCUAUAAGGCACUCGUCUGGAUUGUGUUGGAACAUUUUCCGCUUCCUUGCAUGAGUACAGCCCCAACACUAUUAGAAAAAGUGAACAUCCUCCAGGUGAAGCGGUGUGACAGAGUCGUGUCCCAUCCACCACAUGCAACAUUCCCCUCUACACCACCGAGGCACAGUGGCAUCACUGUGCCAAAGGUAAAGUCACCAUUGUCCUACCUGACCAUAGGGCUGGUUUAACCCGAAGAUUACCACACCGUGGGUGAAGGGAGAGGUUGAGAAGGAGAGUCCGUCUAUUUUAGAUGGAUAUUCUCAAUAUGUACGAACAAUGCCCAGGUCACAUGAAAGAAUAAUGUUAAAAAACAAGCACUAACCAUGCAACUAAAAACCCUCUUCCUACAAACCAUUCUGUUAAAUCUCUUCUUCCCCCUAUCAGGGACCAUCCCGUCCUUCACAGUGUGUGGGGGAUCUUUGGUUUGCACAGACUCAGCUCGUCUUUCCUGUCUGUGAUGUCAUCAUGCUGUGACAAUGGCACUGAACAUCACUGUCUGUGAGGGUGGUGGGCACAGAGAUCCUCAUAGCGUUUAAGACAUAUUCAGAUGCCCACUUGUGAUGCCAACGCAGACAGGUCUAUGGGCCAAGUGCUGGAAAAUUAGCUUAGAAUAGUUAGGUGAUGGUUUUUAACUGGCACAGGCUGGAUGGGCCCCAAAGCCUUUUUCUGGACUGUAGACCUCCGAGACGCUUCACAUAGGAAGAUGCCAAACAAUAUUUCAAGCCAUUUCAGAAAAUGAGAUAUUAAAAUAUAUGACUCAUGAUUACCUCACUUUUCUACAAAAAACAUUGAGCAUAGAGAUGAAGUGGUUUACCAAGAAAUUCUGGAGCUUGAAUCCCAGGAAAUUGCAAGUGCCACCAUCAAGUGGAAGAAUAAAAAUGGGAUCUGAUGAAGGGUCUAGGCCCGAAACGUCAGCUUUUGAGCUCUUGAGAUGCUGCUUGGCCUGCUGUGUUCAUCCAGCUCCACACUUUGUUAUCAAAAGGACUGUAUUAGAGGAAAGCACAAUUUUGCUUCCAAUUAGCAAGCUCUUCCUGAAUCGCAUGUGAUCUAACUUUACUCAUCAGUCUACCAUGUGGAACUCUGUCAAAAGCUUCACUCUCAUUCCAGAGGUGCUGCAAAUCUGAUCCAAUCCCCCUGCCAUUUGUCCACCGCCCUCUUGAUCAUGCCUUGAAAAGUUAAUAAAUGUGAGAUACUGUGUUUUGGUAAAGUGUAGGACUUAAACAAUUGAUGUUUGCACCCAGGGUAGAGUUGUGGAGCAGAGAAAUGCGGAGAUUCAGGUAGAUACUACUUUGAAGUUUAUGGAGAUAGGUAGACAGGGUGGUUACCAAGUUGUUUCGCUCACUUGCCUUCAUUACUCAACCUUUGGAGUCUCGGAGUUGGGAUGUUAUGUUGAGAUUGUACAGUACAUGGUGAAGCUUCAUUUGAGGUAUUGUGUGCAGUUCUGGUCGCCCUGUUACAUGAAGGAUGUUAUUAUUAAACUGGAGACAGUUCAGAAAAGAUUUGCUGGGAUGUUACCAGGAAUGGAGGGCUCGAUUAUUAAAAUAGACUGCCAAAUCUAGGACUUUUCUCACUGGAGCAUAGGAUGUUAAGGGUUGACCUUACAGAGGCUUAUAAAAUCAUGAGGGCACAGAUUAUGUGAAUAUUAAGGGCUUUUUUCCCUAGGUUGGGGGAUUUCAAGACAAGGGGACAUAUGUGUAAGAUGAGAGGAGAAAGACACAUUUAAAAAAAGGCAUGAGG